ensembl:lncRNA
AUUCAAUGUGCAUAGAAAGUCAUCACAGCACUUGAAGUGUUCCUGCGCCGUCCGCUUGCGCUGCCCCGGGCUCACCGGUGUUCACAGACCGAAGUUCAAAGUUCUCAACACGCCAGUGGGCGGGGAUAGGAGGGACAACACAACAAUACUCAACUCUAAUUGGACUUGUGUCGCUGUCACUCAAACUGUAGGCCCAGCAUUUAGCUGUCUACUUUAGGUCGUCUAGUCGGACUUGAUUGAGAACUUGCUAUCAAGGCUCCUUGAAAGGCUCAGAAAAUCGUAACAUUCCAGGACUAUGUGGCUAGUGGGAGGAAAAGGACAGCUGUAUGCAAAACAUGCAAAACGUAAAUAACUGGUGUGACAGCCGCAACGUCUAACUUUUUAGAGUACCGGAAAUCCCCAACGGCAGGACCCUGGAUGAGUGGGCGACUAAAUGGGCGACAGUCACGGUUGUCCUGGUGGGGGGGUUCAUCCAUACUGCCUCAGGACGGAGUUGAACUGAGACCUUCCGGAGCAGCAGACUAACAUUUGUUUGGCAGAAGGAGCUGGGUGAUGAGACGCGCACCGAAACACAGAAAGACUGCCACGGCGCUGCGCGUGGAGCCAACAUGCUUUUCUGAAACACACUCCGUUAAGGAGCAUCCACAACAAACAGCUUGCUGCAAAAGCGGAUGUUGGCAAACUGAUUCAAGGCAAACACCAAUGGAACUACUGGUCUGCCUUCCACAUAAAACCCAAUGGAACUACUGGUCUGCCUUCCACAUUAAACCCAAUGGAACUACUGGUCUGCCUUCCACAUUAAACCCAAUGGAACUACUGGUCUGCCUUCCACAUAAAACCCAAUGGAACUACUGGUCUGCCUUCCACAUAAAACCCAAUGGAACUACUGGUCUGCCUUCCACAUUAAACCCAAUGGAACUACUGGUCUGCCUUCCACAUAAAACCCAAUGGAACUACACUGGCUCUGUCUUCCACAUAAAACCCAAUGGAACUACAUUGGCUCUGUCUUCCACAUUAAACCCAAUGCAACUACACUG